AGUUAAAAAGCUCGUAGUUGGAUUUCUGGCAGGAGCGACCGGUCUCACACCCUGUGUGAGAACUCGUGUUGUCUCUGGCCAUCCUUGGGGAGAUCCUGUUUGGCAUUCAGUUGUCGGGCAGGGGAUACCCAUCGUUUACUGUGAAAAAAUUGGAGUGUUUAAAGCAGGCUUAUGCCGUUGAACAUAUUAGCAUGGAAUAAUAAGAUAGGUCUUUGGUACUAUUUUGUUGGUUUGCGCACCAGAGAAAUGACUAAUAGGGACAGUUGGGGCUAUUCGUAUUCCAUUGUCAGAGGUGAAAUUCUUGGAUUUCUGGAAGACGAACUACUGCGAAAGCAUUUACC
rnacentral:rRNA from 1 species